rnacentral:rRNA from 2 species
UUCGCAAUGCCCGAAAGGGUGACGAAGCGACGCCGCGUGGGUGAGGAAGGCCUUCGGGUUGUAAAGCCCUGUCAGGAGUUAAGAAAUGUAAGUGUGCUAAUAUCGCAUUUACUUGACGAAGGCUCCAAAGGAAGUCACGGCUAACUCUGUGCCAGCAGCCGCGGUAAUACAGAGGUGGCAAGCGUUGUUCGGAAUUAUUGGGCGUAAAGAGCACGUAGGUGGGUUUGUAAGUCAGAUGUGAAAGCCUCCUGUUCAACGGGAGAAUUGCAUCUGAAACUACUGAUCUUGAGUAUAGGAGGGGAGAAUGGAACUUCUGGUGGAGCGGUGAGAUGCGUAGAUAUCAGAAGGAACGCCGGCGGCGAAAGCGAUUCUCUGGCCUAUUACUGACACUCAGUGUGCGAAAGCUAGGGGAGCAAACGGGAUUAGAUACCCCGGUAGUCCUAGCCGUAAACGAGGGGCACUAAGUAGAGGGGUUUU